ACUACUUGGGAGGCUGAGGCAGGAAAAUCGCUUGAACGCAGAGGGCAGAGGUUGCAGUGAGCUGAGAUCACACCAAUUCACUCCAGCCUAGGCAAAAGAGCGAAACGUCUUAAGGGGGUAAAAAAGAAUGUGCAGUCCCAGAUAAAAACUAAACUUUCCAUUUCAUAAUGAUUUAGAGCCACAUGCUGUUCACAGGUUAAGACCUGAGGCAGAUUCGACACCUGGGUGAGUGUGGCUGACAUCUUCUUUCUUCUUUGUCCACUGUUUCUCUUCUCGCUUGCUAAUUGAGGUUUCAGACACCUCCAGGACUGGAGUAGCAGAAAAGGGAAGUAAAGGAAGCAAGAGAAUUCUAAUUUGACUUCUGUUGUCAUACGAUGGCUUCAGGCUCUCUGGGUCUAGCAGACAUGUAAAAAUGAAUUUUUCCUUCAUGGAUACUCUUGAGGGUUUUCUCGUGAAAUCUCUUGCUCAGGUUUUCUCACCUAUGUUCCCUUGAUAUGGACGAAACACCAGUCUCUGGCUUAUCAGAUAUUCUUUACUCAGCUCCAAGGAUCCAGUAAUAUCUCUAGCUUCUUUCUGCUGAGUCCUUAUUCCUUCUUCAUGCAAUCCUAUUGGAGAGCACCAAUUUAGCCACUGCCAAAUGGCUCUCAUGUGUGGUUUAUAUUUUGUCUCCAGAAAACAUGCAUUCUUGGCCCACUAACUCUGGCAAUGCUGUCUAAUCCCAACAUGAUAGCAAACCCUUUGUCCAUGCCAUCAGAGUAGUAAGCAAGCCUGUCUCUCAACGUAAAUUUUCUAGGUGGGAUUCAGAUACCAGUCUCCUGUGUUGCUUUUUCUCCCAACAUCGGAGGGUACAUAUUCCUGGGGGAAGUGAUCUUAUUCCUAGAUUGAUGUAAAUCUUGGUUAAUUUAUGUCAAUCACUGCAAAUCUAGUCUCCUUGCCAGUAACUAUCUUAGGCAUGGAUUUGUGGUGCAAUUCUAGCCAAUGAGAAACAGAGAGUUCUGUGGAGAAGGGUGUUUUGGAGAAAAAUUUCUUCACCUUAUAAAGCAAGCUGUAGUAAAAGAUGGACUGUUUUCUCCUUCUGGACAAUUUCUUAUCUGAAUGAUAUGUGUAAAUCUCUCACAUAGAAGCCUAUGUGAGAAACUCUGUCAUGGUGGAGAUGCAGCGUGGGAAAAGAAGUGCCUAUGACAUUGCUGAGUCACUGAAUGAAACUGUCCUGGAGCCACUCCACCUUGAGACUCCUUGUUAAAUGAAAGAAUCCAUCCUCAUCAUGUUUAAGCCAUCCCCAGUUGGGUUUUGUGUUUCUUGCAGCCACAAGCCUCCCAUUUGACAGAAGUGGUGCUAUGUGCUGAGACAAUGAUAAAACACUGUACGUGUAUUCUCCUAUUAACAUAUAUACGUGUGUGUGUGUGUGUGCGCGUGUGUGUGUAUGAUGUUAUUGUAUCAGUUUAAAGAUAGGUAAACUGAAACAUAAUGCGGUUAUAAAGUUAAGAAGUGAAAGAGGUGGGAUUUAAACCCCAUUUGUCUGACUUCAAUGCCCAAGCCCUCAGCCACCGUGCUUUAAUGCCUCCUGGUGGAGACGCAGCAGGUCACUACCUGAAAAUAUCUGGGACAGCCCUCUGAGGAAUUCAGAAGGUGGGAUGCUUUGCAGAAGCACCAAUUUCUGGCAUUAAGCCAGUGGAACUUGUCCCAUAAAGUCCUUAUUUUGUAGUCAGAGCCUGGUGAGACCUAGAACUCAGAAAUGCAUUAACUUUAUACUUUUGAUACCUAUUUGGGAAGGAAUGCUUCACUUAGUAUCUGUCCUCUUAGUUUUACUUUUUGAAAAAUUAGUCAAGAAGCUCUCAAAGUAUAUUUUCUAAUAGAACUUUGGGAAAAAAAUCAUAAUGCUCUUUGAACAGAUUAUGGGUACCAAAUUCUUAAUGGAAACAUUAUUAUCAAAAAACAGAUUUAGUCCAGGGAAUUGGGAGUCUAAAGGGAGUUCUUUCAGGUAAACUUAAACAGGAAUUUUUAAGAGAAAAUGUCCAACUCAGGGAAAAUGUGCUGAGAAUACAUAUAGAUAAGGAUAUAAAGUUCUUCUUAAAAGAGGUGUUUUGUUCCAUGAGACAAAUAAAUACUUUAUGAACACUAUUGAUUAGGCAGGGUCUGCCACGCUCUCAGCCUUAAGGGGUCAGGAAGUCUCUACAUGGUCAAGUUCUAAAGUCCAGGCAUCAAUCAGUAGAAAUGAACAGGAUUUAUAUUCACAGUAAAGAGAAGUCUUCCCUCCCCAGAAGUAGGCAAUCAGAAUUCUUAUUUAUUGGGGUUUAUGGAACUUUAAAACAGAAAGUACAAAAAUGACUCAAAAUCCCCACAUGAAACAGAAUAUUGAUUUGAGGGAGCAUGAAAUGCUAAUAUACAUCAGAUCAAAGAGACUCGAUUUAAAAAUAACAACUACGAACACAGCAAAGAACGGAAACUGUGGCUCUCUUCACCCCGAGUCUCUGAUCUCCCCCUAAAACCCCAGAACACCACUCACAUGAGCCUUGUUAGCUCAGGUUUGUGUGUCUGUGUCCCAGAGCAACCGAAGUUAUCACAUUGCUCAGAAAUAACUAAAAUAUUUGCCACAGGGCCACAUUGCCUAUUGAGGCUAGCUGAAGCACAUUGUUGUUUGCCUAGUUAUAAUUAUAUCAAAUAAAUAGAAUUGGGCAAUUUAGUGUGCUGAUUUUCUUUUCUAUGGUCUAGAUCAGUUUAGAGCCAUCCCUCCUGACUAUUUGUGAACAUUUAGUAAACCUCUUUGUCUGAGUUUGGUGCUUACUAGAGGUAGUCAAUCGUAUGGAGACUCUCUAAACUGACUCAUAGACUGUCAGUUCUGACAGAGAUUAUCAGUUAAUUCAUUUUUGAAAAGUGAUCUCGAAUUUGUAUGGAAAUGGUCAUGAAUUCCAUUCUGUAAUAUUUAUGGAAGAGGAGUAACACAAGUAAAAGAUAAUUCUUCAACUAAAAUGUAAGGAAAUGAUUUAUUGUCCCCAGAAUUUCCACUGAAGAACAUUACAGAUGUACAAACUUCCACUGGUAUUUAGGCGAGCUAAUUUCUCCCCACGUUUGUAAUCUGGUGGCUUUCACUGUAUGUUUUAUAGGUCUUGGACUCUCUGUGGGGCCUAGUAACUGCCAAUUAUUUGCAAUUGAUUUAGUGCCCUGAGUUCAAAAAAGGAUCUGAGAAAAUCUUUUAUUGCUUGACCCACUUCAAAACUUUUCCUCAGCAGCUCAGCUCAGUCCUUUAAAAUCCUCGUAGUCCAAUAAUACAUUCUCACAAUACAUACCACCCUGAAUUGGGGGUAGGGAAGCAGGAGGCCCAGUUUAGCUCAUGCUGGGUUCUGUCAAGCCUUCUCCAUUUUCCUUCAUGGUGGCCUGAAAAGAGAGAAGGUCAGGCCCACCUGCCCUCCUGCUUUAUCUGGGCCUGCUUCCAUUCCUUGUGAGUGCUGCGUGGACAAGUCCACAUGGACACACACAUUUGUGCACACACACACAUGCCUUUCAGGAAAAAAAAUCUCAUAAGUUUUCAGACAAAGACUGUCUAAAUACACAUUUAGAAAAAAGUGUUCUAGCUAUCUUCAUCACCCCCAAAAUGCCUCUGUUCUAACAUUUAAUUAUGCUAUCAUAAUGAUCACAAUUUGCUUAUCUGUCUCUCCUCGUGAUUAGAACUGAGAGCUUCCUGAAAAAUAUAGCCCUCAACUAAUGCUAAAACAUAUGCAUAAUUCAGCUAAAAGUCAUAAUCCAUGAAUUCUUGGAGAUCUCUGUCUGAAAUAUUAAUGUUAGCUUGGUGAAAAAGUAAUUGCAGUUUUUGCCAUUACUUUCAAUGGAAAAGCCACAGUUACUUUUGCACCAGCCUAAUAUCUGCAUUUGCAGUUAUAAAGCUUCACCAUGACCAAAUGCUAGCGCCACAGGCAGAACUGUUUUAGGUGUUAUGUGGCAUGGAUAAAACACAGUCCCUAAUCUCAAGAACUUCAUAAUCUAGUGAGGAGGGUGGACCAAGAAAUGCAAACAAAUAGCCACUAAUAUAAUAUCAUGUUUAAAUGCUCUAGCACUCACAUGACUAUAGGAACAAGGUGGGUAUAAUUCUGCCAGGGGAGGGCAGGUUUCACAGAGAAACUGCCUCUUGAGGUAUGUGUUGAAAAACAAGCAGGAGUUUACCCGGCGACAGAAGCAAUGAUGAGAAACGUUGUCAGGGAAGGGUAGGAGUUAGGAGGGGGCAACAUGAGGACAUUUUGUCCAGAAAGAGCCUGUAGAACUCAGAGGCAUCAAGGGCAGUGAGCUUCAUAGCGACAACUGGUCAUUGACCAAAUUUCAAUUUCUUUUCCAGGGUAGAAGUCAUCAGAUUUUUAUAUCUCCUGUUGGCUUUCUCUCAACAUAUGAAGAUGUAAUUCCUGAGCCACCAUCCUGAGUUUUUCUGCUCAUGGGGUUUGGCAGGCAUUGAGAGUGAUCACACCUCCGUCCUGCUCUAGCCAAUAAAAUGUGAGCAGAGGUCAAGAUUUAUGUCCCUUCCAGGAAAAGCAUUUAAAAGCUGAUGCCAGUUUUCCAUCUUUCCUUCUCUCUGCUGCAAUGAUUGGCAUGUAGAUGGUGGAGCCUCAGCUGGUCAGGGUCCCUAAAUGAAGGCACUGUGGAGCCCACCUUGUAUGGACUUGAAAACUCUGUGGGCAAGGAAAUUAUGAUCCUGACUUGAAAGAUGAGGAAAUUUAAGCUGAAAAUGCUGAAUAAUUUGCAGAGGACCACACAGUUCGUAAAUGAUGGAGUGACCAGCGAAGGCCUCCUUGAGGAUGUUAUAUUUAGGAUGGAAGGAUUCAAGGAGCUGGUUGUAAAAGAAUGGGGCAGAAGUGUGGCAAAGAGGAUUCCAGGCAGUGGGAGCUUCUCAAGCCAAGGCCCUGAGGUGGAAAUCACUUGCCAUGUUUGAGGAACUGAAAGGUUGUGCAGACAUAAUGUGGUGAGAGAGGAAUAAAGUGAGGUAAGUUGGAGAGUUAGAAAGAGUCCAGAAAAUGCAAAUUCUUGGAAGUCAUGGAAAAAAGUUCAGAUUUUAUUCUAAAGUCAAUAGAAAGCGACCGAAGUGUUAUUUGAAACAGCAGAGUGAUGUGGUUGGGUUUACAUGUACAUCGGCAGCACCUGAGGCAGUGACAUGGCCCACCUCAGUGAGAGGUGGGAAACACACCUCUGCUUCUUCUACAGUCAAGUCAGCAGCAGGCCAUUAAGGGCUUCAGAGUGCCAUCAGGGCCUGGAGCACAUGGCAUCACUGAAUGACGGUGCAGAGAAAUCUUGAUUCCCAGCAAGAAAUCCUGUUCCAGAACUGGGACCCUUCUGCAUCCAUUAAUUCAAUCAACAUAUAUUUGUGAGUUUUUACCAAUAAUGGUGAGCAAAUAGACACAGUGUACCACAUAUAAUUUGUUAGUACUCAGUAUCAUGUCUGUUAUUCUAUACUUUUCCCUGUCCCCAGGAGCAUGAAGUCUAGAAAUUACAAUUUCUAUCCUCCAUUGCAAACAGGAUCCCAAAUAGAUUCCACCAAUAAGAAGAAAUUGCAUGAGAUUUAGAAGGUAGAAGGGAAGGGGAAGCCAUUGUUCUGCAUAGCAGCUACUGGGAGAGUAGAAGCAGUGUGGAAUUUUCUCACUGCUUUUGGGUGUCCUCCUAAGAAUCACCAAGUCAGUGCUCCCAGCAACUGAAACAAUUGGUUAUAGAACAAGAACUGUACUUUAAAGUUUCCUAAAAGGGGUCUUCCUGAGCUUUACUUGCCCAGCCUUUAAUUCCUAUAUUAAACCAUUUCUUACUCUAUAUACUUAGAGUGGCUUCUUUUUUUCUGACCAGACCCUGACUGAUCUAAAUGGGACAA